CUGCCAUGUAUAAAGAGAUGAAAUCCCUACUCUCAGGUAUGCUGGAGCAAGGUGUCAUUAAAGAGAGCUGUAGCCCAUGGGCGGCACCCAUAGUACUGGAUUGAAGAAACCUUGACCAGUCUGACCAGAGCAGAAUGGUUUUCUACUCUUGACUUAGCCAGUGGCUAUUGGCAAGUUGAGAUGGACACCCAAGACCAGGAGAAGACCGCCUUCACCACACCGCUGGGGCUG